ACAAGCCUGAGGCCAAACCUGCUGCGCGGCGCCUCUGGGCCCAGGCAGAGCGGCGGCAGCAGGCGGCCCGGGAGGGGCCCGCCCGGCGACGGGGCCAGAGCGGGGGCUGCCCGCCACGUCCUUCCUGCGCUGGAGCGGGCAGAAUUGCGUUUGUGUGAGAGAUAAAGGACUUCUUGCAGGAAAGGUCAGCUCCGAAUCCCGAAACCAUGGAGGAUCCAUGCCUUCAGAUGAAGUAACUGUGCAUCGGGAUGGAGGAUUUGGCCUGCAUCCUGCGAGGGGAGUUGUGGAGUCAAUCACAGAGUGAUUGAAGGACAUUCUGCAUGAGAAUAAGGCAUCCCUUCCAGGGUCUUGUUAUAGACAAUGCAAAUUCUGGAGUAGGCCAAGAAUCAAAUAUAUUUUCACAUCUUCCUCUCCCGAAGCUUCCUAAG